AUUUCUUUCUCCCUACCCUCUCCCUUCUGCCUCAAGCUUCCAUCUUCAACCAUAUUCUUCUUCAAUAUUUUCUUCUUCAUACUCACGUAAGACAACCAUCACAAAAGAGACAACCCGCAAAAAGGUCAACCCUCACGAAGAAAACUACUGCUCGUUGCCACUUCUUGUUGCUGCUCGCCACCACUCUUCUGUGCUGCUGACUUGUCCUUGCGAUGAAUGGUUGCUGCUGGAUAGUCCACCAUCUCUCCGAUAAACCUUGAUAUGGAGCAGUUAGCCUUGGACUUUACGGCAGACUUGGACCGGGCCUAACUUUUACUGCCGACAUUCGAUAGAAACCCACGAUAGCUUUUCGAAAAGGAAAUUUCGAGACGCACGACUUUCAAAAAUGUGACAAGGGCCAUAGGCCUGUCACAAAGUUCGGCAUGAAAAUUCCAUCGUUUAGGGGGUCAAUUUUGCAAUUUAAUUAUUUUUUUAGAUAUUUUGGAUAUUUUCAUAAUUUUACAUAUUAGGGUUUUUUUUCUAUUAUAAAUAGCCUCCCUUGACUAUUAGAAACCUACUUUUCAAUCUUUGAGGAAUUUCAAUAAGACUUUUGGUCUUUUAUCCUAUCUUUUCUCUUAUUUCGUCUUAGCCAAACGAUAUUGGUUGAAACUCCUGACAGAGUCUAAAUAGUCCUUUAUCAGAUUGGUAUCAGAGCAAAGUUCGGCCAUGGCAGAUAACCAAGAGGCGCGACUUGCUGCGAUUGAGGCAUCCUUGGCAGAAUUGAGGGAGAUGAUCGGACAGCUAACCCUGCAGCAGGAAAUCCACCAACCCGCCGCCGCCGCACAUCCCCAUGUGGCCGCCAAUCCUGUGGCCGCCAUUCCUGUGGCCGCCAAUCCUGUGAUCGUCAAUCCUAUGCCUGCAAAUCUCCAACAGAACUAUCAGGAAGGUUACAGGAUCAAGGUAGACCUUCAAAACUUUUUUGGUUCGUUAGAUGUUGAAUCUGUUCUUAAUUGGCUGGCAGAGGUUGAAUGCUUCUUUGAAAUUAUGAACGUGGAAGAGGAGCGCAAGGUUCCAAUUGUGGCCUAUAAGUUGAAAGGGGGUGCAGCAGCCUGGUGGAAUUCGAUUCAAAACGAACGCUAUCGGAAGAGGCUGGAGCCCAUAUGAAACUGGGUGCUGAUGAAGCAGAUGUUUGAACAACGGUUCUUGCCUAGCGAUCACGCUCAGGUCUUAUAUAACUGGUAUCAUAACUGUGUACAAGGGAACCGAAGGGUGGAUGAGUAUACCGAGGAGUUUUUAAGGCUGCAGGCGAGAUGUGAAAACUGUGAGAAUGAGGCACAACAGGUUGCUCAUUAUCAGAGGGGGCUCAAUCACGAAAUUCGUUGUAUGAUGGGAGUAGCAGCGAUUUUCACCUUGGCAGAUGCUAUUGAGAUGGCAAAAAGGGCAGAAGAGCGUGUUGAUUGGCAGCCACAACAGCAGCAGUACAACUGGAAUUUCAAUUACAGAAAUUCUGAUUCAACAGGGACGCAGCAAUAUAGAGGCAACUACAGCGGGCAGCUUUCUAAGGUUAUAAACUCUGGCAACCCUCCGAAUACCAUAGAAGAAAGGAGAGACAGUAAGGGCAAGGCAGUCACUACUACAAUAGACAAAGGAGGCAGGACCAAUCCUUAUCAGAAGCCAACGGGAGACAUAUGUUACCGGUGCAGGCAAUCUGGUCAACGAUCAAAUAAUUGUCCAGAACGUAGAGGAGUUAAUACUGACCGCCGGCAGGUUAAUAUAGUUGAGCAGGUGGCUGAAACUAACGAGGAAGAGGAUGACGAUGACGGAUCUAUUGCUGGUUCUGAAGAUGGAGAGGUCACCUAUGUGGUGAAAAAGAUCUUAUGCUCAACAAAACAAGAGGACGAGACACAAAGGAGGAAGAUUUUCCAGGCAAAGUGUCGAGUAGGAGAGGCAAUUUGCAGGCUAAUUAUAGGUAGCUGCAGUUGUGAGAAUCUGAUAGCUAAGCAGUUGGUGGAAAAAUUACAGUUGCCUACACAGCCUCACCCCUCACCAUACAAAGUCGAAUGGAUUAAGGAAUGACCGACAAUUGAGGUCAACAGAAUCUGCAGCGUGCCUAUCUCGAUCGGUAAAUCUUAUACUGAACCUGUUAAUUGUGAUGUUGUGGAUAUGGAUUGCUAUGGCAUUUUGCUAGGUCGUCCGUGGCAAUUCGACGUUGAUGCAUUGCAUAAAGGGAAGGAGAAUUCAUACAUAUUCACGUGGAAUCAAAAGAAGAUUACUAUCUUGCCUUCUGGUUCUGCGAAACAUUCUAAGGUGGAAGGGAAUUAUACUGUUGCUGUUUCUAUGGGAGUGCAGAAGCUAUCAGGCGCAGUUGAGAAAUCUGGAGGCACACUAACUUUAUUGAUGAGAGCAAAAGGUACAAUGGAGGAUGCACCAUCUUUACCACCACCCGUCAAAGAGUUGUUGAAUGAGUUUCCUAAAAUAGUGGAGGAAUCAUCCAAGCUUCCACCCCUGCGGGAUAUCCAACAUCAGAUUGAUCUCAUUCCUGGAUCAAAAUUAUCGAAUCUGCCUCAUUACAAAAUGAGUCCAAAGGAGAGUGAAAUCCUCCAAGAACAGGUGGAAGAAUUACUGAAAAAGGGGCAUAUUCGGGAGAGCAUUAACCCCUGCGGAGUACCUGCCCUAUUAGUUCCAAAGAAAGAUAGGACUUGGAGAAUGUGCGUGGAUAGCAUGGCCAUCAACAAAAUUACAGUUCAAUAUCGAUUUCCUAUCCCACGAUUGGAUGACAUGCUAGAUCAGCUAUCCAGGGCUAAAGUCUUUUUUAAAAUCGACCUCAAAAGUGGCUAUCACCAAGUUCGGAUUAAGGAGGGAGAUGAAUGGAAGACUGCCUUCAAGACUAAGGAAGGCUUGUAUGAGUGACUGGUUAUGCCCUUUGGUUUAACAAAUGCACUUAGCACUUUUAUGUGACUCAUGAACUAGGUUUUGCGUCCUUUUUUGCGCAAAUUUGUGGUUGUUUAUUUUGAUGACAUUUUGAUAUUUAGUCGCAGUGAGGAAGAACAUUUGCAGCAUCUUCGUCAAGUCAUGAUGGCCCUACAAGAAAGUGAGCUGAUUAUUAAUCUUAAGAAGUGCAUCUAUAUGACGAAGCGCGUUCUGUUCCUGGGAUUUGUUGUUAGUGCAGAAGGGAUACAUAUUGAUAAGACGAUGGUAGAAGUAAUACGGAAUUGGCCCAUCCCCAAAACUAUUUUUGAAGUUCGCAACUUUCAUGGCCUUGCUAUACGGUUUAUCAGAAAUUUUAGCAGCAUCGUUGCCCCUAUCACAGAUUGCUUGAAGAAAGAGAGAGUGCAGAAAUUUGCAUGGACUGAAGCUGCCAACAAGAGCUUUGAAGAGAUUAAAGAUAAGCUUACUUUUGCCCCUAUUCUUGCUCUACCUGAUUUUGAUAAACUGUUUGAGAUUGAAUGUGAUGCUUGUGGAGUUGGGAUUGGAGGAGUAUUGUCACAGUCUAAAAGGCCUAUUGCCUUCUUUAGUGAGAAACUAAAUGAAGCUAGAAAGAAGUGGUCUACUUAUAAGCAGGAACUAUAUGCAGUAUUCCGGGCUUUUAAAACUUGGGAGCAGUAUUUGAUGGGAUGAGAAUUUAUUAUUCACACAGAUCAUCAGUCUCUGAUCCAUUUUAAAACUCAAAAACAUGUGAAUAAGAUGCAUGCCCGAUGGGCAGCUUACUUUGGAGCCUUUCAUUAUGUCAUCAAAUAUAAGGCUGGCCAUAGUAAUAAGGUGGCAGAUGCUUUGAGUAGAAGGGCUGCUCUAUUAAUUACAGUUAAUUAGGAGGUUGUAGGUUUUGAAUUCCUGAAGGAUUUGUAUGCUACAGAUAAUGAUUUUGCUAAUAUAUGGGCUAGAGUCCAGACUCACCAGCCUACUGAUGGAUUCUUAAUACAUGAUGACUUUCUUUUUAAGGAGAACAGGUUAUGCAUCCCUCGAUCUUCCUUGCGGGAAAAGUUGAUUCGCGAGAUCCAUGGAGGAGGUUUGAGUGGUCAUUUGGGGCGUGACAAGACUAUUGCUGGGUUGGAGGAGCAUUUUUACUGGCCUCAAUUAAAAAAGGAUACCGGUCGGAUGGUUCAAAAGUACCCAGUGUGUCAAACUCAGAAGGGACAUUCGCAGAAUACAGGCUUAUACACUCCACUGCCUAUUCCAGCCCAUCCUUGGGAGGACUUGUCUAUGGAUUUUAUUCUUGGUCUUCCGCGUACUCAACGUGGAUCUGAUUCCAUUUUUGUUGUUGUUGACAGGUUCUCUAAAAUGGUGCAUUUCAUUCCCUAUAAGAAAACUAAUGAUGCUUCUCAUGUAGCAAAACUAUUUUUCCAGGAGAUUGUUCGCUUACAUGGUGUCCCCAAGACCAUUACUUCUGACAGAGAUGUGAAGUUUCUAGCUCACUUCUGAGUGACUUUAUGAAAACGUUUUGGGACUGAACUUCGAUACAGCGGUGCUGCCCAUCCCCAAACUGAUGGACAAACUGAAGUCGUGAACCGAACGCUUGGCAAUCUUCUACGCUGCAUCUGCAGUAACAAGAAAACUGCUUGGGAUCUUGCUAUUGCUCAAGCAGAAUUUGCUUACAACAGUGCGAUUCACAGCUCCACAAAAAUGUCACCGUUUGCUAUUGUGUACAGGAAAGUCCCAGCGCAUACAGUUGAUCUUAUCGUACUUUCCACAGGUUAUCACAACAGUCUUGCAACAAGCAACCUGGCAAAGCAGCACGUGGAUAUUUUCAAGCAAGUACAACAAUGCCUUACGGAAGCCAAUGAUAAAUACAAAGCUACAGCUGAUAAACAUAGGCGUUUCAAAUCCUUCACUGUCGGUGAUCAAGUUAUGGUGUAUUUACGCAAGGAGCGUGGUGGAGGACAGAAAAAGCUGAACGCCAAGAAGAUUGGUCCAUUCUGAAUCAUUCAGAAGAUUAAUGACAAUGCCUAUGUUCUUGACCUCUCACAUGAGAUGAAAAUUUCCAAGAUGUUUAACAUGGUGGAUCUAUUUCAGUACUAUCCUGCUGAAGACAACUCGAGGUCGAGUUCUUUACAAGUAGAAGGGAAUGAUAUGGAGCAGUUAGCCUUGGACUUUAUGGUAGACUUAGACCGGGUCUAACUUUUGCUGCCGACAUUCGAUAAAGACCCACGAUAGCUUUUCGGAAAGGGAAUUUCGAGACGCACGACUUUAAAAAAUGUGACAAGGCACAAAGUUCAACAUGGAAAUUCCAUCGUUUAGGGGGUCAAUUUUGCAGUUUAAUUAUUUUUUUAGAUAUUUUGGGUAUUUUUAUAAUUUUGCAUAUUAGGGUUUUAUUUCUAUUAUAAAUAGCCUCCUUUGGCUAUUAGAAACCUACUUUUCAAUUUUUGAGGAAUUUCAAUAAGAUUUUUAGUUUUUUAUCAUAUCUUUUCUCUUAUUUCGUCUUAGCCAAACGAUAUUGAUUAAAAUUUCUGAGGGAGUCUAAAUAGUCAUUUAUUAAACCUUCAACAAACAAAACGUUGCUCUCCCUUCGACAAGUCCUUGCAGACAGACCACAAGUUUCCACGGUGGCUUCAUAUGAAGCAACAUCAUGCAACUUUGUAAUUGAUUUUGUGUUUAUGUUUAUAUCUACGUAAAUAAUUUGAUUUUGAGAGAAUUUCUUGAUCUAUGCAGCCACUACUUCAGUAAGUGAUUUGGGU
rnacentral:lncRNA from 1 species